rnacentral:rRNA from 1 species
UACGUGGGGUGCGAGCGUUGUCCGGAAUUAUUGGGCGUAAAGAGCUCGUAGGCGGUGUGUCGCGUCGGCCGUGAAAACCUGGGGCUUAACUCUGGGCGUGCGGUCGAUACGGGCAUCACUAGAGUUCGGCAGGGGAGACUGGAAUUCCUGGUGUAGCGGUGAAAUGCGCAGAUAUCAGGAGGAACACCGGUGGCGAAGGCGGGUCUCUGGGCCGAUACUGACGCUGAGGAGCGAAAGCGUGGGGAGCAAACAGG